CCUACGGGAGGCAGCAGUGAGGAAUAUUGGUCAUUGGACGAGAGUCUGAACCAGCCAAGUAGCGUGAAGGAUGACUGCCCUAUGGGUUGUAAACUUCUUUUAUAUGGGAAUAAAAUGUUCCACGUGUGGGAUUUUGUAUGUACCAUAUGAAUAAGGAUCGGCUAACUCCGUGCCAGCAGCCGCGGUAAUACGGAGGAUCCGAGCGUUAUCCGGAUUUAUUGGGUUUAAAGGGAGCGUAGGUGGAUUGUUAAGUCAGUUGUGAAAGUUUGCGGCUCAACCGUAAAAUUGCAGUUGAAACUGGCAGUCUUGAGUACAGUAGAGGUGGGCGGAAUUCGUGGUGUAGCGGUGAAAUGCUUAGAUAUCACGAAGAACUCCGAUUGCGAAGGCAGUUCACUGGACUGCAACUGACACUGAGGCUCGAAAGUGUGGGUAUCAAACAGGAUUAGAUACCCCUGUAGUC
rnacentral:rRNA from 1 species